UCUUACCAAGUCAUGCAAGAAAGUCGCCCUUCAAAAUGAUUGACAUCCAAAGAAUUGCCUUGGCUUUAUUCAGACACAGGAGAUGCAAACAAGAGUGGAGCAGAGAGAAAAAUUAAACAUGGGAGAAAAAAAAAGAAAGUAUUCAGAAUCACUGAAUCAUACUUAAGCAUACUUUUUCAUAAAAAUAAUUUUAGGCCAAUGGGAG
rnacentral:lncRNA from 1 species